UUUGAUCCAUGGCUCAGGAUGAACGCUGGCGGCGUGCCUAAUACAUUGCAAGUCGAACGAGUUUCUGAUUAUUGAAAGGUGCUUGCAUCUUGAUUUAAUUUUGAACGAGUCGGCGGACGGGUGAGUAACACGUGGGUAACCUGCCCUUAAGUGGGGGAUAACAUUUGGAAACAGAUGCUAAUACCGCAUAAAUCCAAGAACCGCAUGGUUCUUGGCUGAAAGAUGGCGUAAGCUAUCGCUUUUGGAUGGACCCGCGGCGUAUUAGCUAGUUGGUGAGGUAACGGCUCACCAAGGCAAUGAUACGUAGCCGAACUGAGAGGUUGAUCGGCCACAUUGGGACUGAGACACGGCCCAAACUCCUACGGGAGGCAGCAGUAGGGAAUCUUCCACAAUGGACGCAAGUCUGAUGGAGCAACGCCGCGUGAGUGAAGAAGGCUUUCGGGUCGUAAAACUCUGUUGUUGGAGAAGAAUGGUCGGCAGAGUAACUGUUGUCGGCGUGACGGUAUCCAACCAGAAAGCCACGGCUAACUACGUGCCAGCAGCCGCGGUAAUACGUAGGUGGCAAGCGUUAUCCGGAUUUAUUGGGCGUAAAGCGAGCGCAGGCGGUUUUUUAAGUCUGAUGUGAAAGCCCUCGGCUUAACCGAGGAAGUGCAUCGGAAACUGGGAAACUUGAGUGCAGAAGAGGACAGUGGAACUCCAUGUGUAGCGGUGAAAUGCGUAGAUAUAUGGAAGAACACCAGUGGCGAAGGCGGCUGUCUGGUCUGUAACUGACGCUGAGGCUCGAAAGCAUGGGUAGCGAACAGGAUUAGAUACCCUGGUAGUCCAUGCCGUAAACGAUGAAUGCUAGGUGUUGGAGGGUUUCCGCCCUUCAGUGCCGCAGCUAACGCAUUAAGCAUUCCGCCUGGGGAGUACGACCGCAAGGUUGAAACUCAAAGGAAUUGACGGGGGCCCGCACAAGCGGUGGAGCAUGUGGUUUAAUUCGAAGCAACGCGAAGAACCUUACCAGGUCUUGACAUCUUUUGAUCACCUGAGAGAUCAGGUUUCCCCUUCGGGGGCAAAAUGACAGGUGGUGCAUGGUUGUCGUCAGCUCGUGUCGUGAGAUGUUGGGUUAAGUCCCGCAACGAGCGCAACCCUUAUGACUAGUUGCCAGCAUUUAGUUGGGCACUCUAGUAAGACUGCCGGUGACAAACCGGAGGAAGGUGGGGAUGACGUCAAAUCAUCAUGCCCCUUAUGACCUGGGCUACACACGUGCUACAAUGGAUGGUACAACGAGUUGCGAGACCGCGAGGUCAAGCUAGUCUCUUAAAGCCAUUCUCAGUUCGGACUGUAGGCUGCAACUCGCCUACACGAAGUCGGAAUCGCUAGUAAUCGCGGAUCAGCACGCCGCGGUGAAUACGUUCCCGGGCCUUGCACACACCGCCCGUC
rnacentral:rRNA from 1 species